rnacentral:rRNA from 1 species
ACAUGCAGUCGAACGCGUUGGCCCAAUUGAUUGAUGGUGCUUGCACCUGAUUGAUUUUGGUCGCCAACGAGUGGCGGACGGGUGAGUAACACGUAGGUAACCUGCCCAGAAGCGGGGGACAACAUUUGGAAACAGAUGCUAAUACCGCAUAACAGCGUUGUUCGCAUGAACAACGCUUAAAAGAUGGCUUCUCGCUAUCACUUCUGGAUGGACCUGCGGUGCAUUAGCUUGUUGGUGGGGUAACGGCCUACCAAGGCGAUGAUGCAUAGCCGAGUUGAGAGACUGAUCGGCCACAAUGGCACUGAGACACGGCCCAUACUCCUACGGGAGGCAGCAGUAGGGAAUCUUCCACAAUGGGCGCAAGCCUGAUGGAGCAACACCGCGUGAGUGAAGAAGGGUUUCGGCUCGUAAAGCUCUGUUGUUAAAGAAGAACACGUAUGAGAGUAACUGUUCAUACGUUGACGGUAUUUAACCAGAAAGUCACGGCUAACUACGUGCCAGCAGCCGCGGUAAUACGUAGGUGGCAAGCGUUAUCCGGAUUUAUUGGGCGUAAAGAGAGUGCAGGCGGUUUUCUAAGUCUGAUGUGAAAGCCUUCGGCUUAACCGGAGAAGUGCAUCGGAAACUGGAUAACUUGAGUGCAGAAGAGGGUAGUGGAACUCCAUGUGUAGCGGUGGAAUGCGUAGAUAUAUGGAAGAACACCAGUGGCGAAGGCGGCUACCUGGUCUGCAACUGACGCUGAGACUCGAAAGCAUGGGUAGCGAACAGGAUUAGAUACCCUGGUAGUCCAUGCCGUAAACGAUGAGUGCUAGGUGUUGGAGGGUUUCCGCCCUUCAGUGCCGGAGCUAACGCAUUAAGCACUCCGCCUGGGGAGUACGACCGCAAGGUUGAAACUCAAAGGAAUUGACGGGGGCCCGCACAAGCGGUGGAGCAUGUGGUUUAAUUCGAAGCUACGCGAAGAACCUUACCAGGUCUUGACAUCUUGCGCCAACCCUAGAGAUAGGGCGUUUCCUUCGGGAACGCAAUGACAGGUGGUGCAUGGUCGUCGUCAGCUCGUGUCGUGAGAUGUUGGGUUAAGUCCCGCAACGAGCGCAACCCUUGUUACUAGUUGCCAGCAUUAAGUUGGGCACUCUAGUGAGACUGCCGGUGACAAACCGGAGGAAGGUGGGGACGACGUCAGAUCAUCAUGCCCCUUAUGACCUGGGCUACACACGUGCUACAAUGGACGGUACAACGAGUCGCGAACUCGCGAGGGCAAGCAAAUCUCUUAAAACCGUUCUCAGUUCGGACUGCAGGCUGCAACUCGCCUGCACGAAGUCGGAAUCGCUAGUAAUCGCGGAUCAGCA